CAGAACAGUGAUGAGUCCUACAGACCUGUAAUGAUUUGCGGAUAGGAUCGCAACUUUUUAAGAACAUCUAAGGGACUGAGUUCUG
rnacentral:snoRNA from 1 species